AUGGAUGGAGAAGAUAACGGUACAAUUGACGGAUUGUUCCCUGUAACAGACUUCCCAGCCUCGGACUCUAUCUCAGAUAACUGGAGUUAACAAGGAAUGGUCUUGGAACAUCAUAAGAAAGAAUGGGGAUUGUCAUCCCUUUAAGGUGUGCCAGGUCAAGAGACAUAUACGGCAGAGAUUCUUGUAGUAAGGAGUACCGUAUGUAAUUUUAUCCUCAAGUACUAUCCCCACCCCCAGCUUGGCCAUUCUUUCCCUAUGGCCAAGGUCAACUCUCCAUUUCUUUACAAGCUUUCCUGUCCAAAACAGAAAUACUUCCAACCAAGACACAAUAUGACAGGAUGCUUUCAAUAGUCCCUCUAUAGAAAGUGGUAAGGACAGGGAAGGAUAGUGUGCUUUUCUCAUACAACAAUGCAGCCGCUGCUGUGCCCACUUCACCUGUGUCUCCCUGUGGAGCAACCAAGCUAACUUGCUCAUCAACUGGACACCCAGAAAUUUGAAGCUAAUAACCACUCCACAGCUGAAUCGUUUAUACACAGAGGUGUAUGGCUG